rnacentral:rRNA from 1 species
GAUGAACGCUGGCGGCGUGCUUAACACAUGCCAGUCGAACGAUGAAGCCCAGCUUGCUGGGUGGAUUAGUGGCGAACGGGUGAGUAACACGUGAGUAACCUGCCCUUAACUCUGGGAUAAGCCUGGGAAACUGGGUCUAAUACCGGAUAGGAGCGUCCACCGCAUGGUGGGUGUUGGAAAGAUUUAUCGGUUUUGGAUGGACUCGCGGCCUAUCAGCUUGUUGGUGAGGUAAUGGCUCAUCAAGGCGACGACGGGUAGCCGGCCUGAGAGGGUGACCGGCCACACUGGGACUGAGACACGGCCCAGACUCCUACGGGAGGCAGCAGUGGGGAAUAUUGCACAAUGGGCGAAAGCCUGAUGCAGCGACGCCGCGUGAGGGAUGACGGCCUUCGGGUUGUAAACCUCUUUCAGUAGGGAAGAAGCGAAAGUGACGGUACCUGCAGAAGAAGCACCGGCUAACUACGUG